UCCCCUUUGCAAGAGAAAGAAUGAGCUACA
rnacentral:piRNA from 1 species